AUCGGUUUUAACAAGGUAUUGAUUUUCAAUCAAGGUUUCUCCGAAUUUCUCAAAUUGCUGUGUGUAGUCUUUGCCCACCUUAUUGGAUGGGCUUUUUUUUGU
rnacentral:other from 1 species